rnacentral:rRNA from 1 species
ACGGCUCAGUAACACGUAGUCAACAUGCCCAGGGGACGUGGAUAACCUCGGGAAACUGAGGAUAAACCGCGAUAGGUCAUAAUAUCUGGAAUGAUUUCUGGCUGAAAUCUAUAUGGCCCCUGGAUUGGACUGCGGCCGAUCAGGCUGUUGGUGAGGUAAUGGCCCACCAAACCUAAAACCGGUACGGGCUCUGAGAGGAGAAGCCCGGAGAUGGGCACUGAGACAAGGGCCCAGGCCCUAUGGGGCGCAGCAGGCGCGAAAACUCUGCAAUAAGCGAAAGCUUGACAGGGUUAUUCUGAGUGAUUUCCGCUAAGGAAAUCUUUUGGCACCUCUAAAAAUGGUGCAGAAUAAGGGGUGGGCAAGCCUGGUGUCAGCCGCCGCGGUAAUACCAGCACCCCGAGUGGUCGGGACGAUUAUUGGGCCUAAAGCAUCCGUAGCCGGUUCUACAAGUCUUCCGUUAAAUCCACCUGCUCAACAGAUGGGCUGCGGAGGAUACUAUAGAGCUAGGAGGCGGGAGAGGCAAGCGGUACUUAGUGGGUAGGGGUAAAAUCCGUUGAUCCAUUGAAGACCACCAGUGGCGAAGGCGGCUUGCCAGAACGCACUCGACGGUGAGGGAUGAAAGCUGGGGGAGCAAACCGGAUUAGAUACCCGGGUAGUCCCAGCUGUAAACGAUGCAGACUCGGUGAUGGGCUGGCUUCGUGCCAACCCGGUGCCGCAGGGAAGCCGUUAAGUCUGCCGCCUGGGGAGUACGGUCGCAAGACUGAAACUUAAAGGAAUUGGCGGGGGAGCA